rnacentral:rRNA from 1 species
AUUGAACGCUGGCGGCAGGCUUAACACAUGCAAGUCGAGCGAGAGGCGGACGGGUGAGUAAUGUCUGGGAAACUGCCUGAUGGAGGGGGAAAACUACUGGAAACGGAAGCUAAAACCGCAUACCAUCAGAUGUGCCCAGAUGGGAUUAGCUAGUAGGUGGGGUAUUGGCUCACCAGGGGGACGAGCCCUAGCUGGUCUGAGAGGAUGACCAGCCACACUGGAACUGAGACACGGUCCAGACCCCUCCGGGAGGCAGCAGUGGGGAAUAUUGCACAAUGGGCGAAAGCCUGAUGCAGCCAUGCCGGGUGUGUGAAGAGGGCCUUCGGGUUGUAAAGCACUUUCAGCGGGGAGGCGUUACCCGCAGAAGAAGCACCGGCUAACUCCGUGCCAGCAGCCGCGGUAAUAC